CCACCCAAGGCACGAUCAGUAGGGGUUCUGAGAGGAAGGUCCCCCACAUUGGAACUGAGACACGGUCCAAACUCCUACGGGAGGCAGCAGUGAGGAAUAUUGGUCAAUGGGCGAGAGCCUGAACCAGCCAAGUAGCGUGCAGGAUGACGGCCCUAUGGGUUGUAAACUGCUUUUAUAUGGGAAUAAAGUGAGGGGACGUGUCCCUUAUUGCAUGUACCAUACGAAUAAGGACCGGCUAAUUCCGUGCCAGCAGCCGCGGUAAU
rnacentral:rRNA from 1 species